rfam:Tursiops truncatus cont1.432345, whole genome shotgun sequence.
CUGCGUGAGCGGAGCACGGCCCUUAGAGCCCUCCGUGUCCCUGGCAAUGCGCUGAGCUCCACCGGCAGCAAGUAGUUGACUGCUCCCGGGCUGUAUUUGGACUGUUUCUCUUGUCCGCCCAGCCGAGCCUUGCCAGCGCCCGCAGCCUAGAACCCUGCCCGCAACAGACGACUAGAG